GCCCUCAUAGCUCAGUCGGUAGAGCGCGUUCUUGGUAAGAACGAGGUCAUGGGUUCAAAUCCCAUUGAGGGCU
rnacentral:tRNA from 3 species